UACGGAGGGUGCGAGCGUUGUUCGGAAUCACUGGGCGUAAAGCGCGUGUAGGCGGCCCACUAAGUCUGAUGUGAAAGCCCGGGGCUCACCCCCGGAAGUGCAUUGGAAACUGGUGGACUCGAGUCCCGGAGAGGAGAGUGGAAUUCCUGGUGUAGCGGUGAAAUGCGUAGAUAUCAGGAGGAACACCGGUGGCGAAAGCGGCGAUCUGGACGAUGACUGACGCUGAGACGCGAAAGCGUGGGGAGCAAACAGG
rnacentral:rRNA from 1 species